CCCCAGGGACUGCCCCCAGUACUUUCCAUCUCACCCGGCACCGCUGACCCUAGGCACAUUUUCUUAUGGCAAGGAUACAGGCUCUAGAACUGUUUGUUUGUUUGUCUGUUUGUUUGUUUUUGCUUCUGGUGAGUCGGACUCAAUCUGGAGUAGGGACACAAGUGGAAACAAUGAUUAUAUUAUCAAAGCUUUGACUGGAACAUCACAUUUAAAAAACAUAUGCAGGCUCGGAUAUGACCAGACAGCUUUUGAGGAAUGAAGAUCGGACUUUAUGGAAUAAAGCCACUUGGAAAUAUUGGCCUGGUACCUUAUUUCCAAACAGCAACCUUACGAAUAAGUAAGGAAGGUCACUUAUCUGGCAGGUGCCUGAAACCUCAAUAUUUUGGGGAACCUCAAAAGAAGAGAGGAAUUCACCCAAAUCUGUUUUUGUUUUCUAUCUGUAAACUGGACUGGAUCCUGAAUUCAAAUAUCUGGUGUGGAUCUCCAAAUUAACGUUGUCAAUGUUUUUUUUUCUGUCCUUUUCAUUUGGAAUCAUUGAGAACUAAAACCAUCCUUUUUCCUGAAGCCCUGCAAACUGAAGCUGGAUGACUUGUUAUAAACCUAACUGAGGGCACCAUGAUAGCCCAUGUUUGAACAAUCUUCAUGCCUGUUGCUAUGUAAGCCACUUAAAAGGUUUACCUGAAUGACUGAUGACAUCAUUGGAGAUAUUUUAAACUGCAGGGGAUGCUUCAAC